GGUUCUGUAGUGUAGCUGGUUAUCACAGCGGAUUCUGAUCUUCAAAAAAUUGGAUAUUUCCGCUAACCCCGGUUCGAAUCCGGGCAGGACCU